rnacentral:rRNA from 1 species
ACGGCUCAGUAACACGUCGAUAAUCUACCCUUAGGUCUGGGAUAACCUCGGGAAACUGAGGGUAAAACCGGAUAGGGAAAUUCAACUGGAAAGUGAAUUUCCUCAAAAGUAAUGCCUAAGGACGAGUCGGCGGCGGAUUAGGUUGUUGGCGAGGUAAUGGCUCACCAAGCCGAAGAUCCGUAGGGGCCUUGAGAGAGGUAGCCCCGAGAAGGGCACUGAGAUACUGGCCCUAGCUCCACGGAGUGCAGCAGGCGCGAAAACUUUACAAUGCACGAAAGUGUGAUAAGGGAACCCCAAGUGAUGAUGUAAAACAUCAUCUUUUGCUCAGAGCAAAAAUCUUAGCGAAUAAGUGGUGGGCAAUACCUGUGCCAGCCGCCGCGGUAACCCAGGAGCCACAAGUGGCAACCACCUUUAUUGGGCCUAAAGCGUCCGUAGCCGGUUUUGUAAAUUUUCUGUGAAAUCGUUGCGCUUAACGUAACGGCGUGCAGAAAACACUGCAAGACUCGGGACCGGGAGGAGUCAGAGGUAUUUUGGGGGGAGCGGUAAAAUGCUAUAAUCCCCGAAGGACCACCUGUGGCGAAGGCGUCUGACUAGAACGGAUUCGACGGUGAGGGACGAAAGCUAGGGGAUCAAUCCGGAUUAGAUACCCGAGUAGUCCUAGCUGUAAACUCUGCGAGCUAGGUGUUACGCAAUCUUAGGGAUUGCGUGGUGUCGUAGCGAAGGUGAUAAGCUCGCCGCCUGGGGAGUACGGUCGCAAGGCUGAAACUUAAAGGAAUUGGCGGGGGAGCAC